CUCCUUGUGCAGCUUGCUACUGGAUGCUGAUGACAUGCUGUUGAGGUGGUGCCGGCUGCAGGCUCUGUGAGUCUUCUGUUCCUACAGGUUUUAUAUGCAUGACUGUACGUGGGUAAGACAGACCUGGUGUUGAUUGUGCCGAUGGAGCAAUGUGACAAUUGAUAACAAGAUUAUGUAGAUGGGUAUGACAACCCCGGCUGUUCUGAACAUCAGCAACUGUCCCACCAAACGUAAUUGGUAUCAGAAUUGCCCAUGAAUCACAUUCAGGGCAAGAAAUUAGAAAGAUCUAAUAAGGUCAUAUGAUUCAGCCUCUUACAGUGAUCAGUGCCAAUGAGUACACCUCGGGACCGCCGAGGACAAGCGAGAUCGUGUCACGGAGCACUAGCAGAGCCAUCAACUGAAGGUGCAAUACAUAUGGCAUUAGUUGGAUGCAGCAUGAGUACUCGUGCCCAGAUGGAAGGUUUACAAUCUGUAGCACUUACGGCGAUGGCAAUCACACGGCAGUAGGUGACACCUUUUGGAUUGCAGAAUUGAGAGUCAAAGCUUGAUGUGCCAGCACCAUGAUCAGCGGUUUGGGAAACGUUUUCUCCAGCGUUGAGAUUCUCCGGUGUUUCUCCAACUCUCCUGCAGUGAGAAGAGGGCUCAGGAUGUUACAUAGCCCCUUCGCAGACCAAAAUAUUACCAAGGAUCUUAAGCACCAAGUGACACCUGAAGAUAAUUUGGUUUCUUCUGAUCCGAAACAACUUCAAAGGGGCACUGUAGUUUGGUGUAAAUUGCUGUGCCAUAGGUAGCAGAGACAACAAAUUAGUCAACAACCUAUCUUUUGUCACUGAGGACUGAUGAUGGUUUACCAUGAAGUAAAGGGCAAACUGAAUUCAGCUGCUUCUUUCUGGUAUCCGUUGAGAAUCACUCACUUGUAAGCAUAUCUCGCAUAUGGUGUCUCCCUUCUCGUUA